AUUGAACGCUGGCGGCAGGCCUAACACAUGCAAGUCGGGCGAGUGGCGGACGGGUGAGUAAUGUAUGGGAAACUGCCUGAUGGAGGGGGAUAACUACUGGAAACGGUAGCUAAUACCGCAUACAAUCAGAUGAGCCCAUAUGGGAUUAGCUUGUGGGUGGGGUAACGGCUCACCUAGGCGACGAUCCCUAGCUGGUCUGAGAGGAUGAUCAGCCACACUGGGACUGAGAAACGGCCCAGACUCCUACGGGAGGCAGCAGUGGGGAAUAUUGCACAAUGGGCGCAAGCCUGAUGCAGCCAUGCCGCGUGUAUGAAGAAGGCCGUCGGGUUGUAAAGUACUUUCAGUAGGGAGGCGUUACCGACAGAAGAAGCACAGGCUAACUCCGUGCCAGCAGCCGCGGUAAUUC
rnacentral:rRNA from 1 species